rnacentral:pre_miRNA from 1 species
UGGUGAUGAUGAUGAUGAUGAUGAUGAUGAUUUUGAUGAUGAUGAUGAUACUGACAUCAUCAUCGUUAUCAUCCUCAUUAUCAUCGUCGUCG